GUGAGAAUGUUGGCAUGAGUAGCGAGAUGUGGGUGAGAAUCCCCAACGCCGUACACCCAAGGUUUCCAGGGGAGGGUUCGGCCGCCCUGUGUUAGGCGGGACCUAGGCUGAGGCCGAAAGGCGUAGGGGAUGGACAACAGGUGGAUAUUCCUGUACUACCGAUAGCCGUUUGAGAGAAGGGAUGACACAGUAUGAUAAGCUAAGCACACUG
rnacentral:rRNA from 1 species